GAAUUUUCUGUAAGAAACGAAACUUAUCUUUCAGCUGAAAAUUCGCAGUGUUAAAAUAUUAUGAAAAAUUAAAAAUUUGUCAAAACUAUUUUUCUGAGACCAAAUUUAAAAGUUCCAUGUUAUUCAGAUACACAAACAGUGAAAGCUGAGCCUACCAGCAAUCUAUUAAGGAUUUUAGUAAGUAGACCUUUUGGUAAACUAAAAUAAUUCAACAUUAAAAAGUUAACAUAAAUUACUUUUGAUUGACUUUAAUCGAGCCUGACAGUCAAAUUUGAGCAUAAAUGGAUAUUCAGAAAGGCUUCAAUUAGGUGUAUCAGAUCAAAACUGAACUGAAACUGUAAUUUUUAAUAGGUACAAGAGUUUCUUGCGAUUUGACCGAACCAAUCCAUUUUUUCUUGCACCAGCCGAACAACCUCGCAUCGUCUCACUCUUUUCCACACAAGAGAAAAGUUUCUUUCCUCUCAAACCCUUCUUUUCCCUCACUUUCUAACAUUACUCUCUCCCUCUUUCUUGUAAUCUCUCUAUCAAAGAGGAGAAAUUGGAGGAGAUUAAGCUUCGAAGAUGUUUUGAAGAAGAAGACCAAGCUCUGGUGCAAGUGAAGCUUGAGGAGCUUGCAACUAAGAGCCUUCGGCACCGGCGGAGGCACGGGAUCGCGGCAAGGGAGUCGCGUAGCUAGUUAGCUGGGAGCUACUUGUGAGCUUAAGUGGUUUACUCUUUCUGUUUGUUUUUGAGAGAGAGAAAGAGAGAUUUUGAGUACCAUGUAUGGAGAGACCACCUACAUACUCUUUAUAUUUAGUUUUUGUAUUUGGGUUUCCCUUUGUACUACUUUAUAACUUUAUUAGUGGAUUUCAGUUUUAUACUUA